UGAGCAAUCUGCCCUUCUCUUCGGAAUAAGCGUUGGAAACGACGUCUAAUGCCGAAUACGACCUCCUUUCGCAUGAUCGGAGGUGGAAAGCUCCGGCGGAGAAGGAUGAGCUCGCGGCCUAUCAGCUAGUUGGUGUGGGUAACGCCACAAGGCGACGACGGGUAGCCGGCCUGAGAGGGUGACCGGCCACACUGGGACUGAGACACGGUCCAGACUCCGUACGGGAGCAGC
rnacentral:rRNA from 1 species